rnacentral:lncRNA from 1 species
CUUGACACGAUAACCCGGGAAAAAGAGAAAUAUAUUUUACAACUCAAUGCUCUGGCAGAGACUAAAAAACGAGUUGUCCCUACUCCCUACGUUUGAUGGGACUUCACCUUCUUUUUUUUCCUUUUUGUGGUAUAUGACUUUGUUUUAUUCCUCCUCCAAUUAGUAUGACAUUAUUUACAGUGACUGACACGACCCUGCACCACA